AUCUUCCAGGUAUGCUGUCGCAGCUGUUUCUCGACUGAGAGAUAUUGAAAUACCAGCAGAGGAUCUCACCAGCGCCCGGACCAAACAUAACCUUAGUCGCUGGAUGCAAGUUGUUAUCUACUACUCGUUGAGGUUGCUGCUAGCACCGGUAGUGGAGUCUGUCAUACUCCUGGACAGACUGAUCUUCCUCUAUGAAACAGGUGCAGCAGAGAGUCUACUUGUACCAACAUUUGACCCACUCUUGUCACCAAGGAAUCAUGUCCUGGUUGCUCUCAAACCCACUAAUAAAUUGUGACCUCCAAAUAUGUGUGUAUCUCCUUCCACAAGAAGGCUGUGUGGGCCAGCAGGCUGCCAACACAUACAGCCUGCUGGAAAAGUCAGUCAAGAGAAAGUGGUGGUCCUAGGCUGGCCUACCAGGGUUGAAAAACUCUCAGAACCAGCCACCGAUAUAUCACUGGUAUAUCACUGGUAUAUCACAGAUACAUCACUGGUACAUCACUGGUAUAUCACUGGUAUAUCACUGGUAUAUCACUGGUAUAUCACUGGUAUAUCAUUGGUACAUCACUGGUAUAUCAUUGGCAUAAACAUCACUCUCUAAUACGUGAUAAUUAUUAUUAAUUUAUGGGGAGACCUAAACCUAAA